GCGGCCUAUCUGCAGUCGAACGGUUGGUAGCAAUACCAAUAGUGGCGCACGGGUGCGUAACGCGUAACCAACCUACCCGAAUCUGGGGGAUAGCCCGCCGAAAGGCGGAUUAAUACCGCAUAAAACUGCAGCCUGGCAUCGGGUAACAGUUAAAGAUUUAUUGGAUUCGGAUGGGGUUGCGUGCCAUUAGCUAGUUGGCGGGGUAACGGCCCACCAAGGCGACGAUGGCUAGGGGAGCUGAGAGGCUGGUCCCCCACACGGGCACUGAGAUACGGGCCCGACUCCUACGGGAGGCAGCAGUAGGGAAUAUUGGGCAAUGGGCGAGAGCCUGACCCAGCCAUGCCGCGUGCAGGAUGAAGGCUUACUGAGUCGUAAACUGCUUUUACCAGGGAAGAAAAAAGGGGAUGCGUCCUCUACUGACGGUACCUGGUGAAUAAGCACCGGCUAACUCCGUGCCAGCAGCCGCGGUAAUACGGAGGGUGCAAGCGUUGUCCGGAUUUAUUGGGUUUAAAGGGUGCGUAGGCGGCUGAUUAAGUCUGGGGUGAAAGCCCGUUGCUCAACAACGGAACUGCCCUGGAAACUGGAUAGCUUGAGUACAGACGAGGGUGGCGGAAUGGAUACUGUAGCGGUGAAAUGCAUAGAUAGUAUCCAGAACCCCGAUUGCGAAGGCAGCUGCCUAGACUGUAACUGACGCUGAGGCACGAAAGCGUGGGGAGCGAA
rnacentral:rRNA from 1 species